rnacentral:rRNA from 1 species
GAUGAACGCUGGCGGCGUGCCUAACACAUGCAAGUCGAGCGAAGCAAUUAAGAGGAAGUUUUCGGAUGGAAUCUUAAAUGACUGAGCGGCGGACGGGUGAGUAACGCGUGGGCAACCUGCCUUAUACAGGGGGAUAACAGUUAGAAAUGACUGCUAAUACCGCAUAAGCGCACAGGAACGCAUGUUCCGGUGUGAAAAACUCCGGUGGUAUAAGAUGGGCCCGCGUCUGAUUAGGUAGUUGGUGGGGCAGCGGCCUACCAAGCCGACGAUCAGUAGCCGACCUGAGAGGGUGACCGGCCACAUUGGGACUGAGACACGGCCCAA